AGUUACUAACCUGAACAACAGUGUUUCCUAUUAUCUCGGUCUCCUUUUUGUGCGGUGCUUCGUAACCUCCCCACUCUUGUUUACUAAGCGUUGCACGCACGAAGUCUAGAUAGAAGGAGAAUGAACGCAAUACGUGUUUUCGUCAAAUUUGUGUCGUCGAAAAUGAGGAAACAUCGGGUACGACAAUUCUCCAUGAGAUCGGCGGUGGUAUUCGGGAAUUCAAAUUUUAUGGAUUGCAUCAACAGUAAAGAGAGAAAGAAAAAAAAUAAGUUAAAACCACAGAAAAAUUCUCUGUUUAUCGUACCCAAAAUUUAUUUUGGAUUAAAUUGUAACAAAUAAAAAUUUUGUUUGCGGAAUACUCAAAUUAUAAAGCAAUGGAGUGAAAUAUUGAGGCAAAAUUUGGAUUUCGAUCCAAAAUGUCCCAAAUUUAUCUGUGAAGAACAUUUUGAUGAAAAAUACAUAAUUAGAAAAGAUAUAAUAACAAUACCUGGUGAACAACCUUUUGUAUCUGAAAGAAAAAAAAUUAUCUUAAAGCGAGAUGCUAUUCCAACAUUAGAUAAAAAAACUUCAGCGAGUGAAAAUGACAUUGGAAGUACUGCCAGCAAUAUAUGUGAAAAUAUGGCAGUUGCUGCAAGUGAGGAAUCUGUAGUUAAUGAAGAGCUAGUCGAUUUAUUGAUAGAUGAUGGCAUUGUUGAACCAAAUAUUAUUGGAGAAAUGAUUCAUUAAGAAUUUAGAAACGCAUAAAUUACCAAAGAAAUGGAGCUGGGUUGAUGAUCACCUCGAUGCACCCGGAGUGAUACUGUGUGUCCACACAUUUGGAUUAUGAAUUAUAUGAUGUCAAAUUUCGUGUAAAAAUCGAUAAGGUUCUAAAUGUAGUUGUAACAAACGUAAAAAUUAGUCAAUCAGUAAAAAGUGACUUUGUUAUUUCUAGUAUGAAUAAAUUUUGGGAAUUUCUAAAAGAAUUAGAGAGAUCUCAAAUGUGUAGUGGUAGUGGAUUUGACUGUCAAAAAUCUUCAGAAACAUGGACAGUUUUUUGAAAGCUGAUGAAGAGUAUAAAAAACAAGCAGCAAGAUAUAGAUGCAAAGCAUGUAGACGACUGAAAAAAAAAUUACACAAUCAAUUGUACCGACCAAAAAUAGAUGUUGAUGAACAUAAUAGAAGAUUAUUAUUUAUUUAUUAUAUUAUAAUAGAACUUGAAAUUAAUGCUGUGAAGAAAAAGUGUACUCGCCUCAGUAAUAAGAAUGAAACUCUGAAGCAAACCAUCGAAGAAGAAAGAGAAAAAUAUGCUGGUGCUUCCUGAACUGUUAUAGAGAAAGAAAUACUUACUCUACCGCCAAUUCAACAAGAAACCGUCAGAGCAUGCUUUGCUGCGGCUAAAUUAAAAAAUUUCAAACAAAGAAGAUACACUAUUGAGUACUUUACUGCUCGAUAAAGUAGCUUUAAGCGAAGCUAUAAAAUUAAA
rnacentral:lncRNA from 1 species